GACACCGCUCCAUCCAAGUCAAAAUUUGUAAAAGCAAACCAUUAUAGGUCAAAUAACGGUCUCCGACACGAAGCUGUGGCUCACACCGAACAUAAAGCUAUAAAAUGCACAAAAAGUGUUUUUUUGUUUUUACAUAGUUUGCAAACCAUGAAAGAGGAGGAUAAUCAAGGGUAUUAUAAAUACGACUAAAAUGGAUAAAAACCUAGCAAAAUGAAAAAAAAAAGAUUAAAAAAAGAAAUAGGGAUCGGUUACCUGACAAUACUUUUUAAUUACCAAACAAACUUCAAUUUACAGUUCCUUGAUUUUUUUAUAUGUUUACGUUGUGAUACGAAUAACACCC
rnacentral:lncRNA from 1 species